UACGGAGGGUGCGAGCGUUGUCCGGAAUCAUUGGGCGUAAAGGGCGCGUAGGUGGCGGGACAAGCGUGCGGUGAAAGCUUGGGGCUCAACCCCGAGUCGGCCGUGCGAACUGUUUUGCUUGAGCACUGUAGAGGCAGGCGGAAUUCCGGGUGUAGCGGUGGAAUGCGUAGAGAUCCGGAAGAACACCGGUGGCGAAGGCGGCCUGCUGGGCAGUAGCUGACACUGAGGCGCGACAGCGUGGGGAGCAAACAGG
rnacentral:rRNA from 1 species